rnacentral:rRNA from 1 species
GGGAGUAACUACGGGAAACUGUAGCUAAUACCGCGUAGAAUCGAGAGAUGAAAGUGUGGGACCUUCGGGCCACAUGCCAUAGGAUGAGCCCAAGUGGGAUUAGGUAGUUGGUGAGGUAAAGGCUCACCAAGCCGACGAUCUCUAGCUGGUCUGAGAGGAUGACCAGCCACACUGGGACUGAGACACGGCCCAG